rnacentral:rRNA from 1 species
CAAUAGCGUAUAUUUAAGUUGCUGCAGUUAAAAAGCUCGUAGUUGGAUUUCGGGUGGGAAUGGCCGGUCCACCGUUUCGGUGUGCACUUGCUACGCCCACCUUGCUGCCGGGGACGUGCUCUUGAGUUCACGCUCGGGACACGGAGUCGGCGAGGUUACUUUGAGUAAAUUAGAGUGUUCAAAGCAGGCCUACGCUCUGAAUACAUUAGCAUGGAAUAACACGAUAGGACUCUGGCCUAUCUUGUUGGUCUGUAGGACCGGAGUAAUGAUUAAGAGGGACAGUCGGGGGCAUUCGUAUUUCAUUGUCAAAGGUGAAAUUCUUGGAUUUAUGAAAGACGAACUACUGCGAAAGCAUUUGCCAAGGAUGUUUUCAUUAA